rnacentral:rRNA from 1 species
UACGUAGGGGGCAAGCGUUGUCCGGAAUUAUUGGGCGUAAAGAGCGUGUAGGCGGCCAGAUAAAUCCGCUGUGAAAUCUCGAGGCUCAACUUCGAGCUGUCGGUGGAAACUAUCUGGCUAGAGUCCGGAAGAGGAGAAUGGAAUUCCUGGUGUAGCGGUGAAAUGCGCAGAUAUCAGGAGGAACACCGAUGGCGAAGGCAGGUCUCUGGGCCGAUACUGACGCUGAGGAGCGAAAGCGUGGGGAGCGAACAGG